GGGGGUAUAGUUCAGUGGUGGAAUGCUUGCUUAGCAUGCAAAAGGUCCUGGGUUCAAUCCCCAGUACCUCCA
rnacentral:tRNA from 1 species